AUGAACGCUGGCGGCGUGCCUAAUACCUGCCAGUCGAGCGAACAGAUGAGGAGCUUGCUCCUCUGACGUUAGCGGCGGACGGGUGAGUAACACGUGGAUAACCUACCUAUAAGACUGGGAUAACUUCGGGAAACCGGAGCUAAUACCGGAUAAUAUAUUGAACCGCAUGGUUCAAUAGUGAAAGACGGUUUUGCUGUCACUUAUAGAUGGAUCCGCGCCGCAUUAGCUAGUUGGUAAGGUAACGGCUUACCAAGGCAACGAUGCGUAGCCGACCUGAGAGGGUGAUCGGCCACACUGGAACUGAGACACGGUCCAGACUCCUACGGGAGGCAGCAGUAGGGAAUCUUCCGCAAUGGGCGAAAGCCUGACGGAGCAACGCCGCGUGAGUGAUGAAGGUCUUCGGAUCGUAAAACUCUGUUAUUAGGGAAGAACAAAUGUGUAAGUAACUAUGCACGUCUUGACGGUACCUAAUCAGAAAGCCACGGCUAACUACGUG
rnacentral:rRNA from 1 species